AUUGAACGCUGGCGGCAUGCCUUACACAUGCAAGUCGAACGGCAGCGCGGGAGCAAUCCUGGCGGCGAGUGGCGAACGGGUGAGUAAUACAUCGGAACGUGCCCAAUCGUGGGGGAUAACGCAGCGAAAGCUGUGCUAAUACCGCAUACGAUCUACGGAUGAAAGCAGGGGAUCGCAAGACCUUGCGCGAAUGGAGCGGCCGAUGGGAGAUUAGGUAGUUGGUGGGGUAAAGGCUCACCAAGCCAACGAUCUGUAGCUGGUCUGAGAGGACGACCAGACACACUGGGACUGAGACACGGCCCAGACUCCUACGGGAGGCAGCAGUGGGGAAUUUUGGACAAUGGGCGAAAGCCUGAUCCAGCCAUGCCGCGUGCAGGAUGAAGGCCUUCGGGUUGUAAACUGCUUUUGUACGGAACGAAAAGACUCUUUCUAAUAAAGAGGGUCCAUGACGGUACCGUAAGAAUAAGCACCGGCUAACUACGUGCCAGCCGCCGCAGUAAUAC
rnacentral:rRNA from 1 species